AUUGUCUUUCGAUAUUUCACAAACUAUGGUCGGUCAUUCAUUAUUUCCAAUCAUCUUAAGAUGGCGGAGUACAUUCUUCUAAAGAAACAUUUGAAGCUCAUGGUGGGCCAUUUAAAAGAAAUACAUGUUGAUUUACAGAGAAAUCUAAGUGAUUUUGUACAACAGGUUGAAUCCCAAACCAAAGAGAGUAUGGAUCUUCCCAAUGAAUCAAAAAUGACAUUUAAAGAGGCCCUAGCUUUGAUAACCAACGCGAAUUUCAUCUUGCUCGAACAAACCCGAAUGCUAGUAGG